rnacentral:lncRNA from 1 species
CUCUUGUCUAAGGGUGGCAAUGCUUGCUACAGGUCCAGGUGGCACAUGCAUAGGCCACACUGACUUGGGAUGGUUAGCAGUGUUCUGGGCCAGCUGCCAAGUCUGCCCUGGGGUUGUUCCUGAUUGGGCAAUUUAGGUCACAGGCCCAUCUCUGGAGCAAAGAGAUUGUGGCCUGGAUGGGGAGGAGGAAUCGGGGUUGGCCCCAGGCUCAGGAGUUGAGAGGAAGAGUGGAGAGUGGAAUGAACCCGGGCUGUCCCUAAAAAGAAAGGGAGGGACGGAUGUGGACAGGGGCCUCCAGCAAGCACAGUGGAGGGGACAGGAGAGAUUGACAAGCAAAGCCCUCGGGCGGCUCCGGCUGCUUGAGGAUGAGGAUGCAGAGUUCUCCCUGCUCGGCUUCAGGUGGACUUGCUGCCCUGGGAGGGGGCCUGGUGCUUCCAGAAGCAGCUUCGCACGUAAAGGGCACCCAGGUGCAGGACCUGCCUGUGUCCUCCGAGGCGCUGUCGGCCUGCGGGCUUGUGGCGGGGCCUCCGGGUGAAGCUCGAGGAGUGGAGCUGGGCCGGAUCGAUCGCUUCGUUUGGAUGGAAAAGAACCUAAAAUUUCUCAAUAAGGUUUCUAUUGAUUAGACGGUGGAAUGACCAUAUUUGGGGCAUGCUCAUGGGUUAAAUUCACUUGUUUGAUUUUCCUUUUUUGGGGGGCCGCAUUCGAGAGACAUGGAAGGUCCCUGGGCCAGGGAUUGAAUCAGAGCCGCAUGGGCGACCUACGCCACAGCUGAGGUAACACGGGACCCUUAACCCACUGCAGCACAGCGGGAACUCCCUGCUGCACGUCUCUGAGCCACACUGUCUUCCUUGAGGAGGCGCUGCUGAGGGUGACGGAGACCCCCCUACUGGAGGUGCCACUGAGGUGUGGCAGGGAGGGGGCAUCCAUCCAUCUGUCCCCAGGCCUCGGACCCUGGUGCCUGAGAGACACGGAUGCUGCAAGACUCCAUCUCCAGCACCACCACUGCUGCGCUCAGACCCUGGGGCUCUGUCAGGAGUCUGCCCUGCACGGCUUUUAUCAAAACAUCCAAAACUAGGCCAGAGACAAGGCCAGGGAACCUGCAGCCCUCGGGCCACUCCAGGCCGCCUACCAGGUUCCGGCAGAGCUGCCGGGCGGGACGUGGACCCCGCGGGCACUUUCGAGCCUCUGCACCCCAGCGUCCCUUCUGCUGCCGUGCUGUGGCCUCAGGGACAGUCACAAAGCCGGGCAGCAAAAGAGUUCUCCACAGAGCGCUGCUGGAGUCCGGGAGCCUGGAGUCCGUGAACCUGGACGAGAAAACAGUCACAUCCAUAUCGGCACCAACUAAAUUCAGCAUCGCCCUGCCUUGUGAAUGUGAGCAGCAAAACCCAGUGAGGUCUGUGGUUUUGCCACCAAUGUUAUCAACCACAAACCCCACUGGGUUUCCGAGCGUCCUACCUUUAUUGCAGAAAUUUCAGGACGGCAUUUGGACUCAAAUCACGGUAGUUCUUAAAUCCGCUACUAGAUAUUCUUUUAAAUGUGCUAGGAAGAAGUAGGAGUUCCCCGGUGGCCUAGCUGGUUAGGAAUCCUGCAUUAUCACUGCUGUAGCUGGGUUAGAUUCCUGGCCUGGGAGUGUCUGCAGGCUGCUGGCCAAAAAAAAAAAGAAGAAGAAGGAGAAAAGGAAGAGGAAGAGGAAGAAAAGAAGAAGAGGCAUGUAUAUUAAACAAUAGUUUGACAAAUUUCAGUGCAUUUGGCUUCCUUUAUAAUCCUACGUAUUUUGCUAUUUUGCAUUGUGCAUUUAAAAACAUGAUCCUGGAGUUCCCGUNUUAAUUUUUUUUUUUUUUUUUUUUGGCUGUGCCCAAGGCAGGUGGAAGUUCCCCAGCCAGGGACUGAAUCUGAGCCACGACAGUGACCCAAGCCACCG